rnacentral:tmRNA from 1 species
GGGGGUGACCUGGCUUCGACGUGGGUCAUGAAGUCUCCGGGGCAUGCCGAGGGGCAGAGCACCUCGUAAAUCCAACUGCAAAUUCAUAGUUGCCAACGACGACAACUACGCUCUAGCGGCUUAAUCCCCGCUAGCCUCUCGCCCGAGCCGCGCCCGUAGGAUUGGGGUCGAGGGGUCAUCAAAUCGGGACCGCGCCGGUUCGUGCCUGUUGGGCCGGCGUCAAACCAAUAGCAGGCUAAGCGUAACGACGACCCUGUCUGCCGGGGAGCGGAACGUCAAAUAAAAGGCAGGCUACGCAUGUAGAUCCGGACGAUGGAGUACUUACGGACGCGGGUUCAAUUCCCGCCACCUCCACCA